GUCUACGCCCAUGCUACCCUGAACAAGCCCAAUUCCAUCUGAUCUUAGAAGCUAAGCAGGGCCAGGCCCGGUUAGUACUGGGAUGGUAGACCACCUAGGAAGACCAGGUGCUGUUGGCA
rnacentral:rRNA from 1 species